rnacentral:rRNA from 1 species
AGUAAUGCGUGACCGACCUGCCCCAUGCUCCGGAAUAGCUCCUGGAAACGGGUGGUAAUGCCGGAUGUUCCACAUGAUCGCAUGUGAUUGUGGGAAAGAUUUCAUCGGCGUGGGAUGGGGUCGCGUCCUAUCAGCUUGUUGGUGAGGUAACGGCUCACCAAGGCUUCGACUGGUAGCCGGCCUGAGAGGGCGACCGGCCACAUUGGGACUGAGAUACGGCCCAG